CCCACCUUGCAAUCACCAAUAUUAAGCUUGCAAACUGGCCAGAUCCCAGUGGGUAUAAUUUUCAGGCUGGCUAACUCAGAGAGUUCGACUGAUGCCACUCAGGGGCUCGGAGCCAGCGGAGGGGAGGGGGCAGCGUGUGACACACGGGAAGGGGUCUGAGUCAGGGCUCCCGAGAGCAAGGAGACCUGCCUCCUCUCUCCUUCCUGCUUCUGGAAGCCACUCCUCGCAAGCCGGGUCCUCUGCUGACAGCCACCUACCCUGCAGUUAGGUCCUGUCCUUUCUCAGCUGAGACAGGAGGGACAGGUGGCCCGUGCCGGAAGCAGUGGCUGCGGCACAGGAGCAGGGGGCGAUCCUGGUCGAGAGCCCAGAGCUGCCGUGUGACAAACAGGAGGCCAGGUAUUAACAGGUGGGUGAGAAGACAGGGCCUGGCUGCCUGCUUGGGGAAGCGGCCGUUUUAAAACCAAGGCAGCAAGGAUCACAGGGAGAGCGUGCACGGUGGGGAGGGCAUAUUUCGAAGAGGAGGAGGAAGGAGCUGUUUUGGAAUUGGGUGUAAAGCCAUUUGUUUGGAGGGAUGCCAGGGUAACAGUAGGUGCCCAGAACAAACGCGCACAGCCAUUGCAGCACUCAGCGCCCGCAUGCUCGUCCUUCGCAGUACCUAAGUGCUCUGUCUCAUCCUACACUUGCUGGCUUGGUGUUAUGACAAAAAGGAAACACAGGUUCACAAAAGCAUUACAGGAAACAAAUAAUGCCUUUAAUCCUGGAAGUGUUUAGCCCAGCGGCAGCAAAGCUGAGACUUUCCUGACCUCCAUCAUAGUGCUCCAAAGAGGGUCAGGAUACAGCCUGCGCUGAUGGAGCCUGGAUUUGGAAUGCUUUGGAGAUGUGCGCUGGUGAGAUCUGUUCUACAUCUCUGAGGUCCAGCAUGGCAUGUAGCAUUUCUGUGCAUUCAACAGCCAUUAAAAGACUCAGUCCCCAAGGUUUGCAAGAAUGUGAGACUGAAGUUACUUCUUUAUGACUGUUCUUUCAAUGUUAAAAUGCUUUUAGAGGAGGAAAAAUGCAGCAAUAACAGGGAAUAACUGAACAUCAGGACAGGGAAAUGCCAAGUGCACUUUAUAGUUAAGCUGGGGCUGAUGGAGGACUUUCAGCUGAGCCUGGCUGCAGGCAUGCUGCAGGGUGGUGAGAUGGGCUCCUGAAGUGGCCUCACAGCUCUGGGACAGGCCUUCAUUGCUGGACAACCCCCUUGCCCUCCAUGGCCUUCCAACCCGGCCUUGCACCCUGCUGUGCCCUGCUGCCCGGCAGCCUGCCUGCUGCUCCUGCUGAGGGCAAGAAUCAGCACGGCUCUUCCCUGCCUCCCCCUAGACAUGUUUGUCUUAAAUACAACGUUUUUUCCCUUGGGCUGCCACAGAUUUUCCACCCCUUCAGCCAGCCAACGGCUGGCAAGUGACAUUCAUUAGCGGCCAUGAGGAAGGUCGUGUCUCCCAGUGCCUGGCCUUUCUGGUGAGGGAGGCAGGCAGCCGCUUUGCGUAAAAUGCCAAACAACCUUCCUUGUUUUCCUUGGUUGCCAGGGUAGGAAUCGACAUUGUCCCCAGCGGAGCACAAGGACUCCCCGUGACAUGGCGGGGACAAUGGGAAGGUAUGUUUUCUUGACCUGCUGCAGGAAAUCCUGUGCGUCUUGCCGGGGAACACAGCAUUUUCCUGCCCUGUCUGUGGCCGGGCUGCAGCUCCAGGGGCCCACAGCAGCCUGCUUGAAUGUGCAUGUUUUGAACCUCUCUUAAAUUUUAACAGAAUCAGCCCCGUUUGGUGCCCAGGCAGACUUGGGUGCUGUGAAGCUGAGGCUGGUGCACUGCAGCGGUACUGGGUGCUGGUAGGGAGGCAGCCUCAUCCCUCUGGGGUUGAGGGGAUGGGGCAUGCCAAAAACAGCGCUGAGCUUUGCUGCUAUUACCUGGUGCCAGUUGUAGGGGCGAUGCUGUCUCUCCUGCCUGGAGCUGAGCCGAUCGUUUCCACUCUGCAUUACUGCUGCUGUUGAUUAACUGGUUUUGAUUUUUUUAAGGAACAAUUCAGAAAGUGACGCAUUACUUCUGCCUGUGGACAGAGGGAACAGCUGAAACGUGGGAGUCCAGACUACAGCUGUGUGACUACAGCUUUAAAAAAAACCAACCAAAACCACAUAUUUUAGUGAAUAAAAACUACUGAUUCCCUC